rnacentral:tRNA from 1 species
GCCGGUGUGGCUCCGUGGAUAGAGCGUCGGUCUGCGGACUGAAGGGUCGUGGGUUCGAUUCCCCGUCAAAGGCA